GUCCAGAAGUAGCGAAACAAAGGCAGCUGUUAACAGCUCCGACUGGCCGAGGGAAAACCCAGAGGAUAAGAAAUCUCUUGAGAAGACCCAGAGCCAUGAGAUUUGCAGUCAGAUAGCCAGCCCAACUCUCAGUGACCUCUCAGAGAGAACUGAAAACGUCUGGCUGCUUGUCACAACUGAACAUCCAACCCCAUUGCUGAAGGAAACCCAUCGACCGCCUCAUUAAAAUCUCCUUGGCACAACCCAAGCUGGUCUUCCAUCACUGGGGGCAGAAGGAGCUGAGUGUGGAGGCAAUUUGUUCCUCGGAGCAUGCAUCAUUCCUCCAGUCAGGGCGUGCAUCUGGCCAGCCUGCCUUGGACUGCUUUACAGAGCCGUGGACGCUGUCCAGAGCGCUCUGCUCAGUGUCCCCGACAAGAUGGCCAUCAAAGACUGGGUUAGGGGUCAGGCACCCAAAGCCAUUAGCACUCCAAAGUGAUUGAUUACCAUCAUGUGUGGUCUCAAUCAAGAGCCGGUAAUGAGCUGCAUUCAUUAAUCCCAUUUAUAUGUUUGCAUAGUCCAGUCUUGAAUUUCAGAGAAUAAAAAGGCUUCAUACUGCGA